CAGUGUUCUAUAUAUUUAGGCAUACAAUGUAUCUUGAUGUAUUAUUUAAUAAAUAAAAGAAGUGUUUACACAUUAGAAACAUGCAGAAAUUAUAAGACAAAAUAAAUAUAGACGUUAUAAAGGAAUCACUCAUAACGAUUUAUCACGCAAAAUUGUAUGAAAAAGUUGAGCCGUUUUUCUCGAAGUAUUUCUGUGGAGACUGUCUAUCUAAUAAUCUGAGCUCUAUACCUACAUUUAAAACUUCAAUAUCACAGCGAAAUCUAUUAUUAUAUUCAUACAAUCCUUAAUAAAGCAGAAAUGUUUAUACGAUAAAAGCACUCACUGUAGACUCCGAGGCCAGUGGCGCCCCCAAUGCCGGCACCAAGGGCCGCCCCCAGUCUUCCUCCUGCAUAUCCACCAAUGACUCCUCCAGCUAAUGUGCAGACUGCUGUCACUACUGCAGUAUCCUUGUCCCAUACUAUGCGGAUAUCAAAGUGAUCAGCUAAAAAUAACAAUUGCAUAUUAUUGUUUUUAUUUAAUACUAUACUUAAUAUUGUACUACAGGCUAAUUUUGUUUAAGUAAAUAAAGUUAUUAUUUUUUUUUUUAAAUUUUACAAAAAUUCUCAUCUCCCCUCUUAAGGAGAGGAGUUGGCAACUAACCCCCGGCAGAAGCACAGUCAGCCGGGGUUCAGGGCCCCAGGGAGAGAAACCGGCGUACAAUGCGGGCAGAAUCUAAGAGCACCGCUUUCUGCAGCUUUCGCGGGAGUGAGCUGACGUCAGAUAGACAAUCAAAAACCUUGGGGGUAUUACGUACAAAAAUAUAUCAUGCAAACGUCAAAAUUUAUACAAUUGGGAUAAAGGCAGGAAGGUGAUAAUUAAUACUAUACUAUUGCAUGCAAAAACUACUGAACAGAUUUAAAUGGAAUUUAAUACACAGGUUACAUCCUAUCGCAGGACUAGUCAGUUUAUAUACUGAUUUACUCUAGUGAGGCAGCGAGGCAUAGGUAAAUAGAUAAUCUCAAUAAAAACCAUUACAAAUAAACAAUCUUAUAGCUGUUACUAUUUGUCUACGUAUUAGCACAGUGUUACUAAAUAACACAAUAAUUAAAUACAAAAUAAUCAAACCAAGUUCCAGUAGAAUUUGCUCAAUCCAAUUUGAGUUGAAGCCAAGUUCAUGGCCUACAUAUGAUUGUUCCUGCAAAGCUAUCUCCAUUAGGUAUUUUAUUGAAUUUCAAAUAAAAACAAUUUAUUCCAAUUUCAGACGAAUAAUGAAAUAAUAAUAAAGCAAAGUUCAAUUUCAGAAAACACAACAAAAA